AUUAGGAAUUUUGCGCAAUGGGGGAAACCCUGACGCAGCGACGCCGCGUGUGGGAUGACGGCCUUCGGGUUGUAAACCACUUUUGCCAGGGAAGAAGCAAGUGACGGUACCUGGUGAAUAAGCCCCGGCUAACUACGUGCCAGCAGCCGCGGUAAUACGUAGGGGGCGAGCGUUGUCCGAAGUUACUGGGCGUAAAGCGCGCGUAGGCGGCUUCUUAAGUCUGAGGUGAAAGGUUCAACGCUUAACGUGAACAGUGCCUUGGAUACUGGGGAGCUUGAGUGUGGCAGAGGAUAGUGGAAUUCCUGGUGUAGCGGUGAAAUGCGUAGAUAUCAGGAGGAACACCCAUGGCGAAGGCAGCUAUCUGGGCUAACACUGACGCUGAGGUGCGAAAGCGUGGGGAGCGAACGG
rnacentral:rRNA from 1 species